GUGAUGAUUUUAAUUCACAGCAUGAAAACAAUAAAAUUAUUAUAUUUAGCAUAAUUAUACAAACAUUUAAAUAUGUGAGUAACAUUAAAAAUAUAUAAUAAUUAUAUAUAACAAAUAUCUAUAUAUAUAAAUGUGAAAAUAUAUACCCGCACGGUUGUGCGGGUGGAAAUCUAGUUUAAAUGAAUUAAACUAUUAGUUGUCAAUUGAUUUUAGUUUAUAAAUCCAUAAAUUUAGCACUAUACACUAAACUCACUGAUAUGAUCGAAUUGAUAAACUAUGUAUGAAAUUAAAAAAAAGAUAUAAGUGAACAAAAAUUGUCCCCAACAUCUUUAUAAAUGAAAAAAAUUCAAACGAAAACGUGGAAAAUUAUUAACCGCCCACUUAUUAAAUAAAAUAAAAUACACAAAACAUUGUCGGAUUCGCCGGUUUAUGUUACCUUAUUUUGCUAUAUAAAGCCAUUAAUCCUUCAUUCUCUUCAUGCAUCUCUUCUUUUCUCAUCUCUCUUCUAUUGUUUCUUUUGUCACAUAAACUAUUUCUUAUAUAUGGUGCCUCAAAGCAAUCUAAUAGUCAUCUAGGGUUUAGUUUGAAGAUUUAAGUUGGCUCUAGCCUACAUAGAGGAAGAUCCUUGCAUCAAGAAUGAAAACAUGGGCUAUCGAAAUAUAUAUUUUGGUUUUAUGCUAUAUAGUAUUCAAAUUCUUUACAUAUGCUUAAUUAGAUAUUUCCAUAUGCUUAUAUAUACGUAUAUAGUUAUAGAGAAAUUAAUGGGCUUAGGGAUGAUGGGUUGGUGGAGGAAGAGAGCUUUCUUUGGUCCACUCAUGGAGUAAUAUGUGAGAUUUAAUUGACUCUCGACUCAUCCAUCCACAUACCAAAUGAAAGAAUAUGUUCCCAUAUGGUAAAUGAAUGAAUGAUUCUAGAGACAAAUUGAAUCUUUACUUCUCUAUGCUUGGACUGAAGGGAGCUCCUUUCCUUUGUUUUCCAAUAUUUCUACAUCUCAUUAUAUUUACAAGCACUGAAUUUAUGUGUGCGAGUCAAGAUCAAGUUCAACAUUGAUAUGAGUUUUAUGGGGUUGUUUUGCAGAUUCAGUCGUGACCUCCCUGAACAUCUUCGAGCCAAAUCUAUGAAGAUUUAAUCCUUUUCGUUGCAAUGAGUUGGUAUCUACUGAAAGAGUUUCACUACUAGAAGCAAUAACAGUAUUCAAGAUAAGGGUUUUGACAAUAUACCCUAAGAUGGGCUGUAAAGUAUCAAGAAAGAGAUAGAAAAAGAUCCCAAGUGUUCAACGACAACAUCACCUCGGGUCUUGAUCUCUCUCCCUGCAACAAGUUCCUAGAUAUGUCUUCUUCAUGGUAGGAAAAAUGCCAUUUAAUGACUGAAAUACCCUCAGUUACGGCAUUCUUUAAGGGGGCAAGAUCGUACAUUAAGAUCGACAAAUGACCGGUGUCAUCAUCAUAUGCAUUACAAUUUAACUUGAGUCAUUCUUGGGUUCAUCUAGGUUCACCAAAGAGGUUCACCAACCAAUAGGAUUUCAUUAAUUCAAAUUCGAUAUCUUUUAAAAAAGAAAACAAAAUAUUCUCAAAUUAUAUUAUGUUUUUAAAAUAAAAAAGUAAAAAAAAAUAAUAGUUACAAUAAAAAGAAUUAAAAAAAUAUAUAUAUUUUAAUGUU